GACGAACGCUGGCGGCGUGCCUCCUCCAUGCAAGUAGAACGCAGUUUCGCAUGGGUGAGUAACGCGUCGGUAACUGCCUCUUAUCUGGGGAUAACUAUUGGCAACGAUAGCUAAUACCGCACACUGUGAGAUGGACCUGCGUUGUAUUAGCUAGUUGGUGAGGUCAAGGCUCACCAAGGCGACGAUACAUAGCCGACCUGAGCGGGUGAUCGGCGACACUGGGACUGAGACACGGCCCAGACUCCUACGGGAGGCAGCAGUAGGAAAUCUUCGGCAAUGGAAGGAAGGCUGACCGAGGAACGCCGCGUGAGUGAGGAAGGUUGUCGGAGCGUAAAGAUCUGUUGUUAGAGAAGCGGUAACUAACCAGAAAGGGACGGCGAAGGACGGGGCAGCAGCCGCGGUAAUUC
rnacentral:rRNA from 1 species